AACGUAGGAGACAAACGUUUAUCCGGAGUUACUGGGCGUAAAGGGCGUGUAGGCGGUUUGUUAAGUCUGGCGUGAAAGCUCUCGGCUAAACCGGGAGAGGUCGUUGGAUACUGGCGAACUAGAGGAUGGUAGAGGCGUGUGGAAUUCCGGGUGUAGUGGUGAAAUGCGUAGAGAUCCGGAGGAACACCAGUGGCGAAGGCGACACGCUGGGCCAUACCUGACGCUAAAGCGCGACAGCAUGGGGGAGCAAACGGG
rnacentral:rRNA from 1 species